GCAGAGAGCAAGUUUGGCUUUGUUUAUUAAAAUCAGACUGAGCUCCAAGCCCCUCAAUUUAGGCAAUAGGAACCCGUUUCUCAUUUUUAUUCAGCUCCGCAACUAAAGACAGAUGGAAUUUGCUCUCACAUUUAUGUUCUCCACCACCCCAAAGCACACAGGUUGUUCAGUUGCUGAUCUCAAAUUAAACAAUGUUAGAACUGCGAAUAGUUCAUGUACCUGACCGCUAACGUGAUUUCCGGAGAUCUAAAUGCCAGAAGGGAGCCCUAGAGAUGAUGUGAACUCUUGCCAUCGUGUCUGUGCUCAGUAGAAAGUGCAUAAGAAAUGAGAAGUCCCCUCACCCGAGCCACUCUAAUGC
rnacentral:lncRNA from 1 species